CUGGCGGGUCGCCGCCGGUACCGCGGUGCUGCUGUUGCUGCUGGCCGGGGCGCGGCUGGACGGCUGGCCGCCGGCGUUCGAGCGGCUGCCCGGCGGU
rnacentral:tRNA from 1 species